GAUGAACGCUGGCGGCGUGCCUAAUACAUGCAAGUCGAGCGAACAGACCAGGAGCUUGCUCCUCUGACGUUAGCGGCGGACGGGUGAGUAACACGUGGAUAACCUACCUAUACGACUGGGAUAACUUCGGGAAACCGGAGCUAAUACCGGAUAAUAUAUUGAACUGCAUGGUUCACUAGUUAAAGACGGUUUUGCUUUCACUUAUAGAUUGAUCCGCGCCGCAUUAGCUAGUUGGUAAGGUAACGGCUUACCAAGGCAACGAUGCGUAGCCGACCUGAAAGGGAGAUCGGCCACCCUGGAACUGAGACACGGUCCAGACUCCUACGGGAGGCAGCAGUAGGGAAUCUUCCGCAAUGGGCGAAAGCCUGACGGAGCAACGCCGCGUGAGUGAUGAAGGUCUUCGGAUCGUAAAACUCUGUUAUUAGGGAAGAACAAAUGUGUAAGUAACUAUGCACGUCUUGACGGUACCUAAUCAGAAAGCCACGGCUAACUACGUG
rnacentral:rRNA from 1 species